UUCUGGUAGGUUUGAUAAUUCUGGGCUUUGUUCAUCCAUAGCUUUUCCUUAGAAAUAUAUCUGUUUUUAUUAAAUAUUCAAAAGUAUUUGUGUACAAGAGAAGGCUUGCUUCAACUCAUGAAGUUUUGCCUUUAACUUGCCAAAGGCUUACAUAUUUAUAGACUAAAAAGAAAACGCGUAAACUACUUUAUAUUAUUCCUAUCUUUACAUCUGUCAAAAAUUAAAAGACUAAUAAUGGCCUAGGUCCUACAACUUUACACUUGUUAAUGCUAUUUUAAAAAAAAUCUUAAGACUAAAAACCCAAUAAUGGCACUUUGGCCAAAAAGUCAAACUAAUAAAUGCUACUUAAUGCUUUACGUAUUAUAAUUCACAUGUUUCAAAAACUAUCUUAAUAAGUCAUAUAUCUCUUUAAUGUUUGUCUUUAUUUUUUCAUCUGUCCGUGUUGCUUUAUAUCUUUUGUCGUAUAUCUUCCAGCUGUCUUAAUUUUUUCGUUUGCUUCUAUUAUAGUGUUACUUCUGGAAUAAUAUUAUGUCGUCCACUACAACAGCUGCAUUGAUGAUCAUCAUAUCUCUGUCCAAUUAAUUUGCAGAAUUGUUUCAUAAGUCCGUUAGAAAUAACUCCUUUCUUGAUAGAUCUUGUGAGAGGGUUAUCUUCUGGUUUUAAUAAUGUCAUUGUCCAUCUACGAAUUUCUUCCAUAUCAUUUUCUCUUAUGUCUUUACAUGUUGAAUAAACCAAUAAAUGAUCUCUAGAAUAAUAAUUCCAAACUGGAUUACGGUUCAAAUAGUUAUGUGCUAACUCUUGUAUAAUUGUGCUCAAGCCAAUAACUCGUUUGUUCUUGAAAAAGUCUGGUAUCUCGUUUUCUAUAUUUCGUCUUGUUCAGAUAUUUCUUCUGGUAUAAUGUAGUCUCUUGUCAUACCAAUUUUUACUACUGUAACCACUGGUUUAAUUUCAUCAAAUAGUAUCUUAGCAGAGGCCAAAUAAAAUCUUAUGUAAAAUAGCUUUCUUUUUGUAAUUUUUAUAUAUGUCAUAAUUCCUUUAUGUACUGCAGGAAUCAUGGCUAAUUCUUUCUCAUCUGUUGUAUAAACUGUUGAUAAUAAUCCAUUAGAAUAACAUGUAGCGAUUAAAUUUGGGAUGGUUCCUGGGAGCGCAAUAAGUUUAUUAUAAUUUUGUAACUUUUGGGUUAUAUAGCCUUGGUGUUUUUUGGCUAGCUCAAUAUCUUGGACGGGUUUGGUAUUUAGUAUGGUUUGGAUUGUAUAUAAAUUUUCAAUAUAAACACGGGUUAAAUGGUUGUAAGCUUGUUUUUUCUGGUUAAUUGCUUCUGAAUAAGGGUAUAACUGCGGGGGUAAUUCAUUCUUUUGGAUAUUUGGUGGUGCAUAAGGUUUUUCAAAUAUCCUAUUUAGGUUGUAAUUCUUUUUCUUUGGUAAUUCAGAUUUUGGUAAAUUUUUUGUAGUGGGUAAUUCCUUAGCUGUAUCUGAUGUUCCUGCACAUGUAACAACCGUUUUGGUUUUAAGAUUUCAGAUACCACAUUUGUUGAAAAGAAAGAUGCAGUCAAGAUUCUAUGUAAGCUGUGGAAAGAUGAGUACUUAGAGAUGAAGAAAGUUAUUACACAAGGAGCAAGGCAAUCCGAAUUCAUUCUGUGGAAAAUCAAUAAGCAAUCUCUUUGGAAGCAUGUUCUAGACAAAAUGUACCAUGCUGCCCUUAAUUUGAGAUUGAGAAUAACAAAUGAGCGGGAACAGGGAAAAGAGAUGCCUAGAGAGAAGCUGGUAGGAGGACUGAGCGACAGACACACGCGCCUAAGAAAAAUUUGGAUUACUCUGGAAUCUUCUUUAAUGAAUCUUGAUGAUGCACUCAUGCUCUUCCAUGACUUCUAAAACAAGAAGAUGAUUUACAUUAUACAUUCUCACCUUGUUUUCCUGAUUAAAAUUAUUUUAGAUGUGCCCUUAGAAUCUUGCUGUCCUGAUUGGAUACAAAAUCUCAUCCAAGAAGUUUUUUUAAUGCAUGUAGGCUAUUUUAUUUGUC